AUAGCCGGAAAUGUCCAAAGCAGUUAAGAGGGCGAACAGAUUUUGUCUAAAAAGAUAAGGCAGCUAAACAGAGGAAUAUUUAAAAAAACGAUCCAUGGGACAGUCUAACAUAACAAAGGGAAUUAUUCAUCAAGAAGAGGCCCUUUAGCCGGGUAUUUAAAGUGCCCAGGUACUUACAAUAACAAGUUGGACUGAACACAUUGUAUCUCAGGAAUUAAGAAUUUUUCCUAAAAGAAG
rnacentral:sRNA from 1 species